CCAGACUCCUACGGGAGGCAGCAGUAGGGAAUCUUUCACAAUGGGCGAAAGCCUGAUGGAGCAACGCCGCGUGCAGGAUGAAGGCCUUCGGGUUGUAAACUGCUUUUAUAAGCGAGAAAUAUGAUGGUAACUUAUGAAUAAGGAUCGGCUAACUACGUGCCAGCAGCCGCGGUAAUACGUAGGUGACAAGCGUUGUCCGGAUUUACUGGGUGUAAAGGGCGCGUAGGCGGGAUAGCAAGCCAGUCGUGAAAUGCCGAGGCUUAACCUCGGAGCUGCGAUUGAAACUGUUAUUCUUGAGUAUCGGAGAGGAAAGCGGAAUUCCUAGUGUAGCGGUGAAAUGCGUAGAUAUUAGGAGGAACACCAGUGGCGAAGGCGGCUUUCUGGACGACAACUGACGCUGAGGCGCGAAAGUGUGGGUAGCAAACAGGAUUAGAUACCCGUGUAGA
rnacentral:rRNA from 1 species